rnacentral:misc_RNA from 1 species
AGUAAUGUAAGUAAUUAAUUAUUAAUCAUUAAUUCAUCAGAUUGUACUUGGAUUGAACAUGUUUAUGUGAUGUACUUUACUUGCUUAGUGAAUUGUUUAACACUAUCAGUGAAGUAACAAACAUUUCAAUUGACUGUUGAAUAAUGUUUAAAGUCGAACAGAUGCCAGAAACCUUUUGACAGUCCAUGGUUGGAGUCCAUUAGGCACUAAGCCAUUUCCAAACUACCGGAAGAGUUUCACCAGUUUUGUCACAUUCCUACACAAAAGUCAGCAUGUUCAAGUGGUUUAGACAGCAUUUCUACAGUAAACAGUGUGUCGAUAAAUAUUGGCCGAAUCCUGAAAGCAAAGUUUGUAAAACCAUUUAUAAAUGGUUUUGUUAUGUAUAUGUGUUUAUAUUUUUGGUGUUUUAUGUCUGGUUGAUGAGUUGGUGUGUUCCAUUAGUAUAAUUAAGUAGACUAUGGGAUGGGUACAAAAUUACACAACAAAUAAUAAUUCUCUUGAAAGCAGAUCAGAUUCUCCAACCAGACAGAAGAAAGUAGAUUUUGACCUAACCGCUACCAGUGUACAAGAUUUUUAUGAAUACAGGCGAAAAGUAAAAAGAGGAAAAUAUCCCAAUCCCUUUGAUGCCUCUAAAAAGCCAAGUCAAAGUGUUCUCAAGGAUUCAACGCCAAGUCCGAUCAGUCCGUUCUACAAGAAAGCAUAUAACAUCAACUACUGGACCCCAGCAGUGUCAACUACACAACUUAUAGAACAGAUGGAGUCCUUCGACACAGAUGAGUGAAACUGUUGGACAGACAGCAAUGAGUUGUGUCGUGUCUAAAGACAUUGAAUCGUGAUAUGUGAAAAACUCAUACAAACUUCUCCUAUAAAAGUCUUUCUCAGAUUAGUUUGGGUUUUUGUAAAAGAAAAUAUGGAUAUAAUUAUGGUAUAAAAACAUUAUUCAUAAACCAUGAAAACAAUGACUACACUACAUUUUUUGUUUUAAUGGGGGACUGUCAUUAUUAAAGUGUGAUAAUAAUAUAAAUAUUAAAAUCUGAGAUAACCAAUUUAUCCUUUUAUCUAGUUUCAGAAAAUAUUUAAUGGUAUCCAGGUUCUAUUUAAGAAAAAUUAUAAUGUAUUGUAAAACCACAAAUAGUACAGAAAAGGCUAAAUAUGUUACUAUGGGUACGUUUAUUGUCAAAAAUUUACAAAAAUGUAUUUUUUAUGAUACAUUUUUUUCAAAAUAUACCAAAAUUUAAAUAAUUAUAUCCACUACAAUACAAUAAAUAAAUUAUAACUAAUUUUUUAAUUUUUGAAAAGUGGUGAGAUGUACUAAUUUGUUACUAUGGGCACGAUUAUUUUCAAAAAUUUACAAAACAAUAUAAUUUCUAGACUAAAUAUUUCCAAAAUAUACAAAAAUUUAGUACAGUAGAGCCUAAAACAAAGCUAUAAACCAACAUAAUAAACCAUAUAUACUUAUAAAAUACACUUAUACCAUAAUAUACUUUCAAAAAACCCAACAAUGUCUGGUAUUAAUCAUAUUGUUAUAAUGAGACAUUUUCCACAAUUGUAUAUGUCCUGGCUCAGAAUGAUUUCUCUCUUUGUAGUCUAAUUAAUAUUAAUAGUAAAAUUUUCUACUAAUCCCAAUAUUUGUGAAAGCCUAUAUACUUUUUUGUUAUACUUAGAUGUUUACUAGCAGAUAUAGAUAAUACGAAAACUAAAAUUUUUUAAAUCUUUUUUGUUAAUAAUGAGAAAUAGUAUCAAAAGUUAUGCGUGUCAGUCAUAAUAUACGUUUACAUGGUUAUAUAUGCCCUCCUAAUGGAAUAUUUCAACUUUCACCACUUCCAUCUCAAUUAUUUGCAGUUGUAUAUGGAACAUAUUGUAUGUGGUAUAUGAAAUAUGAAUAUUGUAUAGAAAAGGUUCAAUACAAAUGUAUAAGUUACAAGUUCAAGAAUUUCAGUAAAAGAAUGUCACUAUAAGUAACUAAUUACACAAGGCCUCCUGCCUUUCAAAAUGUGAAGUUGAUUUUGUACCAGAAUCAUGUUUAAACUUUAUAAAAGUUUUCAUUUAUAACAAGCAACUUGGUUCAACUUUAUAAUAUAAGUUUUAAUUUCUAAUAAAAUAUUUAUAAAAAGCUACUAGUUUAACCAAGAUUAGAGAAGUUGCAAUUGAUUUAAAUAAAUAUGUAA